rnacentral:rRNA from 1 species
GACGAACGCUGGCGGCGUGCUUAACACAUGCAAGUCGAACGGUAAGGCUCCAGCUUGCUGGGGUACACGAGUGGCGAACGGGUGAGUAACACGUGGGUGACCUGCCCUGCACUUCGGGAUAAGCCUGGGAAACUGGGUCUAAUACCGGAUAGGACCAUGGUGUGGAUACUGUGGUGGAAAGUUUUUUCGGUGUGGGAUGGGCCCGCGGCCUAUCAGCUUGUUGGUGGGGUAAUGGCCUACCAAGGCGGCGACGGGUAGCCGGCCUGAGAGGGUGGACGGCCACAUUGGGACUGAGACACGGCCCAGACUCCUACGGGAGGCAGCAGUGGGGAAUAUUGCACAAUAGGCGGAAGCCUGAUGCAGCGACGCCGCGUGGGGGAUGACGGCCUUCGGGUUGUAAACUCCUUUCACCAUCGACGAAGGGUUUCUGACGGUAGAUGGAGAAGAAGCACCGGCUAACUACGUG